UGCAAAUCGAUCUUCAAAUUUGAGAAGAGGGGCGAAAGACUAAUCGAUCCAUCUAGUAGCUAGUUCCCUCCGAAGUUUCUCUUAGGAUAGCUGUGGAGGAA
rnacentral:rRNA from 1 species